AGUACCGUGAGGGAAUGGUGAAAAGUACCCCGGGAGGGGAGUGAAAUAGUACCUGAAACCGUGUGCUUGUAAGCCGUCAGAGCCUUGUGGGGUGAUGGCGUGCCUUUUGAAGAAUGAGCCUGCGAGUUAGUGAUACGUGGCGUGCUUAACCCGUGUGGGGUAUGCGUAGCGAAAGCGAGUCUGAAAUAUGGCGUUUGUCGCGUGUUCUAGACCCGAAGCGGGGUGAUCUACCCAUGGUCAGGUUGAAGCAGAGGUAAGACUGUGUGGAGGACCGAACCCACCAGGGUUGAAAACCUGGGGGAUGAACUGUGGGUAGGGGUGAAAGGCCAAUCAAACUCCGUGAUAGCUGGUUCUCCCCGAAAUGCAUUUAGGUGCAGCGUCGCGUGGUCCCUGGUGGAGGUAGAGCUACUGGAUGGCCGAUGGGCCCUGUGGGUUACUGACGUCAGCCAAACUCCGAAUGCCAUUAGGUGUAGCGCGGCAGUGAGACUGCGGGGGAUAAGCUUCGUAGUCGAGAGGGAAACAGCCCAGAUCAUCAGCUAAGGCCCCUAAGCGUACGCUAAGUGGGAAAGGAUGUGGAGUCGCGGUGACAACCAGGAGGUUGGCUUAGAAGCAGCCAUCCUUGAAAGAGUGCGUAAUAGCUCACUGGUCAAGUGGUUCUGCGCCGACAAUGUAGCGGGGCUCAAGCGUACCGCCGAAGCUGUGGCAACAACACGCGAUGCUGGCGCCAGGAACUGGAGUGCUGGUGUGUUGUUGGGUAGGGGAGCGUCCUGCACGAGGUGAAGCCUGGAGGGAACUUCUGGUGGAUUGUGUGGGAGUGAGAAUGCAGGCAUGAGUAACGAAUCUGCGGUGAGAAUCCGCAGCGCCGAUUGACUAAGGGUUCCAGGGCUAGGUUUAUCCGCCCUGGGUUAGUCGGGUCCUAAGGCGAGGCCGACAGGCGUAGUCGAUGGACAACCAGUUGAUAUUCUGGUACCAGGUUGUGACCGCCCAUGCUGAGGUCAUUGUGCUAACCAAUUUGCCCGCGCCUCCGCAUAACCUUCGGGUUGCGUGGUGUGUGUGGGUCUUGGGGUCCCGGUGAUGGUAGGCAAGCGUGUUAACAGGGGUGACGCAGACAGGUAGCUGCAGUGCGCCGAUGGUUGUGCGUAUUUAAGGUUGUGGCCCGCCUCCCAGGCAAAUCCGAGAGGCAUAAGGGUGAGAACUGAUGAGGGACACACGCGUGUGUGGACUUGUGGUGAUCCUAAGCUGCCGAGAAAAGCCUCGACGUGAGGGCAUGACGCGCCCGUACCCUAAACCGACUCAGGUGGUCAGGUAGAGUAUACCGAGGCGUUCGAGUGAAUCGUGGUUAAGGAACUCGGCAAAAUUCCUCCGUAACUUCGGGAUAAGGAGGACCCCGUGACUUGCUCCCGCCGUGCGUGGGUGUUGGGUUGUGGGGUCGCAGAGAAUAGGGAGAAGCGACUGUUUAUCAAAAACACAGGUGCGUGCGAAGCCGUAAGGCGAUGUAUACGCACUGACGCCUGCCCGGUGCUGGAAGGUUAAGAGGAACCGUCAACACCCCUUGUGGGUGUGAAGCGGUGAAUUUAAGCCCCAGUAAACGGCGGUGGUAACUAUAACCAUCCUAAGGUAGCGAAAUUCCUUGUCGGGUAAGUUCCGACCUGCACGAAUGGCGUAACGACUUCUCCGCUGUCUCAACCGCGAACUCGGUGAAAUUGCAGUACGAGUAAAGAUGCUCGUUUCGCGCAGAAGGACGGAAAGACCCCGGGACCUUUACUAUAGCUUGGUAUUGGUGUUCGCUUGGACUUGUGUAGGAUAGGUGGGAGACUGUGAAGCUGCCGCGCCAGCGGUGGUGGAGUCGUCGUUGAAAUACCAUUCUGGUUCAAGCGGUCACCUCAACCUUGGCCCGUGAUCCGGGUUGGGGACAGUGCCUGGUGGGUAGUUUAACUGGGGCGGUUGCCUCCUAAAAUGUAACGGAGGCGCUCAAAGGUUCCCUCAGCCUGGUUGGUAAUCAGGUGGCGAGUGCAAGUGUACAAGGGAGCUUGACUGUGAGACCGACGGGUCGAGCAGGUGCGAAAGCAGGAACUAGUGAUCCGGCCAUGGCACGUGGGUGCGUGGUCGCUCAACGGAUAAAAGGUACCCCGGGGAUAACAGGCUGAUCUUGCCCAAGAGUCCAUAUCGACGGCAUGGUUUGGCACCUCGAUGUCGGCUCGUCGCAUCCUGGGGCUGGAGUCGGUCCCAAGGGUUGGGCUGUUCGCCCAUUAAAGCGGUACGCGAGCUGGGUUCAGAACGUCGUGAGACAGUUCGGUCCCUAUC
rnacentral:rRNA from 1 species